ensembl:lncRNA
AGGCUACCUGUGGUAGACAGAACAAAAGGUCACCUUUGGUAGACAGAACAAAAGGUUACCUGUGGUAGACAGAACAAAAGGUCACCUGUGGUAGACAGAACAAAAGGUCACCUGUGGUAGACAGAACAAAAGGUCACCUGUGGUAGACAGAACAAAAGGUUACCUGUGGUAGACAGAACAAAAGGUUACCUGUGGUAGACAGAACAAAAGGUCACCUGUGGUAGACAGAACAAAAGGUCACCUGUGGUAGACAGAACAAAAGGUUACCUGUGGUAGACAGAACAAAAGGUCACCUGUGGUAGACAGAACAAAAGGUUACCUGUGGUAGACAGAACAAAAGGCUGUUUGAACCAGUAG